rnacentral:misc_RNA from 1 species
CAGAAGAAUUUUGAAAAAAAAAAAUACAGGAACAUUAUUGUGGGACACUAGGUAGUUUUGGCAUUAUCUUCCAACCUCAAAAAUGUGACUCAAUGAAACCAUAUGCAAUCUUCAGAAAUAUAAAAAUGAAAACUUCUGAAAGUCCUGAAACUUAUCACUUUUCAUCGAAAUAAGAAGAAUUUUAGGGGGAAAAAAUACAGCAACUAGAUUCCAUUUGUAUCUGGGGAAGGAUGAAGCAAAUGCCAUUCCAAUUUUGUCCAAGAGGAAUAGUAAGUGUAAGAAUAUUGAUUUCAAUGCA